rnacentral:tRNA from 1 species
GACCACAUGGCGUAGUCGGCAGCGCGUUGGGCUCAGGCCCGAAAAGUUCCAGGUUCGAACCCUGGCGGGUCA